AGAGUUUGAUUCUGGCUCAGGAUGAACGCUAGCGAUAGGCCUAACACAUGCAAGUCGAGGGGCAGCACAUGAAGUAGCAAUACGGAUGGUGGCGACCGGCGCACGGGUGAGUAACGCGUAUGCAACCUGCCUACAACAGGGGAAUAACCCGUUGAAAGACGGACUAAUACCCCAUAACACAGGGAUCCCGCAUGGGAAUAUUUGUUAAAGAUUUAUCGGUUGUAGAUGGGCAUGCGUUCCAUUAGCUGGUUGGUGAGGUAACGGCUCACCAAGGCAACGAUGGAUAGGGGAACUGAGAGGUUUAUCCCCCCCACUGGUACUGAGACACGGACCAGACUCCUACGGGAGGCAGCAGUGAGGAAUAUUGGUCAAUGGACGCAAGUCUGAACCAGCCACGUCGCGUGAAGGAAGACGGCCCUACGGGUUGUAAACUUCUUUUGUAAGGGAAUAAAGUGCAGUACGUGUACUGUUUUGCAUGUACCUUACGAAUAAGGAUCGGCUAACUCCGUGCCAGCAGCCGCGGUAAUACGGAGGAUCCGAGCGUUAUCCGGAUUUAUUGGGUUUAAAGGGUGCGCAGGCGGGAGAUUAAGUCGGCGGUGAAAUUUUGCAGCUCAACUGUAAAAGUGCCUUCGAAACUGGUUUUCUUGAGUGUGGAUGAAGUAGGCGGAAUUUGUGGUGUAGCGGUGAAAUGCAUAGAUAUCACGAGGAACUCCGAUUGCGCAGGCAGCUUACUAAACCAUAACUGACGCUCGGGCACGAAGGCGUGGGGAUCAGACAGGAUUAGAUACCCUGGUAGUC
rnacentral:rRNA from 1 species